rnacentral:lncRNA from 1 species
AAUAAAUUAAGUAGUAAACUAUGUCCUUAAAAAAGAAUAAAAAAUACCGACUGUGUCUGACACAAAUGACAAAGAAUUUUGUGAUUGGUAUUCAAGAUCCCAAGUUCGAAUCCUAAUUGAUUUAUAUUUCCAGCUAAAUUUAUUAAAAAAAAAAUAAACGAAACGGCAACAUAUUAUCUAUCUCUCUCAAAAAAAAAUUUGCAAAUAAAUGUUAAUUAUCACUCUUUUUACUCUUUUAUCAAUUAAAUUUUAAUUUGAGUUUACUACUGGCAAAGUUGAAAAACGAAAUAUUUUAAAAUUUUAAAUUUGAAAUUUGCCUCGUGGUAGGUCGCGCGGAAAACUCUCCAGCUUGGCCUGUUGACCAAUCAAUAUUGAAUUAUUAAUUUUGCCCCCCACAUACAUUAUUUUAAUGUCAGUAUCAUUCUACCUACCGUUCUUAGCUAGCGCAAGUGAUAAAGAAUUUGAUGAUUAGUAUUCGAGAGUUCAAACUGAAAAUCUAGUGCUUCAUAUUUUUCAUUAAAUUUAUUUUUAAAAAAUAUAAACAAAACAGAUAAUAUUCCAUCUAUCUUUUUUUUUAAUUAAUAUUAU